AUGGUGCGGCUUAGGUCAACUAAUAUGAAUAAGAUACAGUUCACUCAACGAUUGCCCUUGGGUCCCGAACUCCAUAUGGGGAAGGAACGUUGUUGUUUGCGAGGUCUCGAUCAUUUACAUGGACCCACUUCUCAUUCCAUUUGUGGGAAUUUGAUGAUUUAUAAACCGUCCCCAAUGAGCGAAAGGUUCAUGUUUGAACAUGAUGAAUCACUUCGUGCCGACCUGUUGCCCAUAAACUUUCCUGCCAAACCAAAAAGGUCACCCAUACCAAAAAUCAUACCAAAAAGGAGCACGGUCACCAUAACAACAUUUGCGACCGUGCUUGGUUUGAUCGAUCCCUCUAUUAUGGGAUUUAUGUUUAUACCAAAGCCUCUACUUUUGGAUAUUUACGCUGAUGAAGGAAAGCCUUGUUAA
rnacentral:rRNA from 1 species